rnacentral:rRNA from 1 species
GAUGAACGCUGGCGGCGUGCUUAACACAUGCAAGUCGAACGGAAAGGCUCCUGCUUGCCGGGGUACUCGAGUGGCGAACGGGUGAGUAACACGUGGGUGAUCUGCCCUGCACUUCGGGAUAAGCCUGGGAAACUGGGUCUAAUACCGGAUAGGACUAUGGCUUGGAUGCUAUUGCGUAAAGUUUUUUCGUUUUGGGCUGAGCUCGCGGCGUAUCAGCUUGGUGGUGGGGUAAUGGCCUACCAAGGACUUGACGGGUAGCCGGCCUGAGAGGGUGUACGGCCACAUUGGGCCUGCGAUACCGCCCAGACUCCUACGGGAGGCAGCAGUGGGGAAUAUUGCACAAUGGGCGCAAGCGUGAUGCAGCGACGCAGCGUGGGGGAUGACGGCCUUCGGGUUGUAAACUCCCUUCGCUAGGGACGAAGCGCAAGUGACGGUACCUGGAGAAGAAGCACCGGCUAACUACGUG